GAGCAUGUAGAACUGCUCCCAAAUCCACUAAAAGGCUGAGAAUUUUAGCACAAUAUUACUUAUCUUCCUUUCACUUGUCUUUUGUAAAGAUUAGAUUUUAA